AAGACAGGUGCCACUGUCCUCCUACGCCAAGGGGAGUAUCUCCAGGCACUUCUGCAUCGUGCACCUCUCUUGGACUAUAACUGGACUCCCCCAAGAUGUGCAUGAAGCCCAAAGGAGUGUUCUCAGUUUCCCCUCAAACCAGGCCCAUUUCUCUUCUCUUCUCCAUUAGAGGAAGAUAAUCUCUGGACUAGAGACCUCCCUCACCUCACUCCUUGUCAAGCAGCUUCUUUCCUUGCAUUCUUCGCCUUCUUCCUCCCUGCCUCUCCAUCCAGCUUCACGUCUGCCUCAUCUCACUGUUCACCUUUCACAAUCCCAUCCACUCCAAGCCCGGCUGCUGCACCAGCCAACCCAGAAUCCGCGUCGGUUGUGCUCCAGGUCUCCCUUGGAUCCGGGUCCUGCCUAAUUUACCAGACUACAAAUCCCAGGAUGCCCCGCUACCCCGUGACCUACUGCAAAAUAAAGAGCCUUCCCUCGGC
rnacentral:lncRNA from 1 species